AGCAGUGUGGCUCAGUGGAAAGAGCACGGACUUGGGAGCCAGAGGUCAUGGGUUCGAAUCCCAUAUCUGCCC
rnacentral:tRNA from 1 species